GCUCUAAUAGCGUAUAUUAAAGUUGUUGCAGUUAAAAAGCUCGUAGUUGGAUUGCAAGAGUAGAAUAUGAUCCGUCAUAUUCGCUCUACCAGCCUUAGGCUGUUACUGUGAGAAAAUUAGAGUGUUUCAAGCAGGCUUAUGCAGGAAUACAUUAGCAUGGAAUAACGAAUGUGUCUAGAAUCUUGGUUAAUUCUAGAAUA
rnacentral:rRNA from 1 species